AUAAAGUUUUAAUUUGGCUUAUUUAAUUAAUUUUUAUUUUUUUUUACAUGUAAAUUAUCAUAAAAAAAUUAUUUUAAAAAUAAUUUUUAUAAAGAGCAGUAAUUAGAUUUAAAUUUAUAAGAAAUUAUGAUUUAGGAAUAUAAAUUUAUACUAACAAAAUUUGUGCCAGCAGUUGCGGUUAUACUAAUAGUAUUAUUAAUUAUUUUUGGUUUAUAGUAAAAUUUAUAUAAAUUAAAAUAAAAUUAAGUUUAUUAAGUGAAAUUUUAAAUUUAAAAAAUUUAUAUAUUAAUUUUUAAUUCUAUUAAAUUUAAAAUUAAACUAGGAUUAGAUACCCUAUUAUUAUAAAUGUAAAUUAUAGCCUAAUUAAUAAUAGUUAUGGUCUUAAAAGUUAAAAAUUUUGGCGGUAUUUUAGUCUAUUCAGAGGAACCUGUUCUAUAAUCGAUAAUCCACGAUUAAUUGUACUUAAUUUAGAAGUUUGUAUACCGUUGUAGUUAGAAUAUUUUAAAAGAAUUAAAAUAUUCAAGAUUUUAUUAAGAAAAGAAUUCAGAUCAAGGUACAGCUUAUAAUUAAGAAGUAAUGGGUUACAAUAAAUUUAUUUAAAUGGUUAGAAAUUUGAAAAAUUUUUAUUAAAGUGGAUUUGAUAGUAAUAAUAUUAAUUUAAAUAUUAUGAUUUUAGCUCUAAAAUAUGCACAUAUCGCCCGUCACUCUCAUUUUAAAAUGAGAUAAGUCGUAACAAAGUAGAUGUACUGGAAAGUGUUUCUAGUUAGAC
rnacentral:ncRNA from 1 species